rnacentral:lncRNA from 1 species
GGGGGUCAGAGGAGCCCGUGGUAGCUUUGGAUCUUUUGGAACUAGGGUGAUCUAUAAAAGUGCAGCUUGAGAAGAUUUCAUACAUAAGACCAGCGUCCAUUGUUCUACCAUAGAACCAGUUCCUUUGGUCUGCUUUAGAACAGUGAGGUAUGGCUACGUCAAGAUAACAGAGAAAGUAGAACAGACAGUUGCCAUCCUGAUUGUAAUCCAGUGGUGCCUGUAAUUUCUACCUGCAGAGUCAUCUCUUUCUGUUAAGAUGCUGUCUCCAGAAAGCACAUGUUAAAGGACCUAUAUUUGAUCAGAUUACCUGGCUCUUGCUUUGAAACACUGAUGAAGGACUUGGGACAGAACAAAGUGAGUGGAGGACACUUCAAUCUAAAGUGAUCUUAAAGGAGGAGUAGUAGGAUUUGAAGAUGAAGAAAGAAGAGGGGAGGUAAAUUACUUUCCAUCACUUCAAUUUCAACCCAUCAGAUAAAACCUCUCUUUAGUAAACCUGCAUGUGGGUGGAGCUGUAACAGCAAUUAAGGACAGUGUGACUCUGUUCUUCUGACUUUGGGAAAACCAGUUUGGCUGGAACAAAAAGCUGAUAGAGAAGACUAAUGGAAGAUAAGGUUGAAAAGGUUAAAAAAUGGAGGCAACAGCUGGGUACAGUGGCUCACUCCUGUAAUUCCAGCACUUUAGGAGGCCAAGGUAGGCAGAUCACUUGAGAAAAAGAGUUCGAGACCAGCCUGGGCAACAUAGUGAGACCCUCUCUCUCAAAAAAAAUAGCCAAGUGUGAUGAUGGACACCUGUAACCCCAACUACUUCAGAGACUGAGGCAGGAGGAUCACUUGAGCCUAGGAGGUCAAGGCUGCAGUGAGCUGUGAUUGGGCCACUGCACUCCAGCCUGGGUGACACAGAGAGACCUCUCUAAAAAAUAAAAAAAUAAAAAAAAUGGAAGCACAGAAAACUAUACCUUUUCUAGCUCAACUUUACCACAUUGAUGAAAAAGUAUUGAGCAG